AGAGUUUGAUCCUGGCUCAGGAUGAACGCUAGCUACAGGCUUAACACAUGCAAGUCGAGGGGCAUCAGGAAGAAAGCUUGCUUUCUUUGCUGGCGACCGGCGCACGGGUGAGUAACACGUAUCCAACCUGCCCUUUACUCGGGGAUAGCCUUUCGAAAGAAAGAUUAAUACCCGAUAGCAUAAUGAUUCCGCAUGGUUUCAUUAUUAAAGGAUUCCGGUAAAGGAUGGGGAUGCGUUCCAUUAGGUUGUUGGUGAGGUCACGGCUCACCAAGCCUUCGAUGGAUAGGGGUUCUGAGAGGAAGGUCCCCCACAUUGGAACUGAGACACGGUCCAAACUCCUACGGGAGGCAGCAGUGAGGAAUAUUGGUCAAUGGGCGCAGGCCUGAACCAGCCAAGUAGCGUGAAGGAUGACUGCCCUAUGGGUUGUAAACUUCUUUUAUAUGGGAAUAAAGUUGUCCACGUGUGGAUUUUUGUAUGUACCAUAUGAAUAAGGAUCGGCUAACUCCGUGCCAGCAGCCGCGGUAAUACGGAGGAUCCGAGCGUUAUCCGGAUUUAUUGGGUUUAAAGGGAGCGUAGGUGGACUGGUAAGUCAGUUGUGAAAGUUUGCGGCUCAACCGUAAAAUUGCAGUUGAUACUGUCAGUCUUGAGUACAGUAGAGGUGGGCGGAAUUCGUGGUGUAGCGGUGAAAUGCUUAGAUAUCACGAAGAACUCCGAUUGCGAAGGCAGCUCACUGGACUGCAACUGACACUGAUGCUCGAAAGUGUGGGUAUCAAACAGGAUUAGAUACCCUGGUAGUCCACACAGUAAACGAUGAAUACUCGCUGUUUGCGAUAUACAGUAAGCGGCCAAGCGAAAGCAUUAAGUAUUCCACCUGGGGAGUACGCCGGCAACGGUGAAACUCAAAGGAAUUGACGGGGGCCC
rnacentral:rRNA from 1 species